CGCACCUACGGGGCGCAGCAGUGGGGGAUAUUGCACAAUGGGGGAAACCCUGAUGCAGCGACGCCGCGUGAGUGAAGAAGUAUUUCGGUAUGUAAAGCUCUAUUGGCAGGGAAGAAAAAAAUGACAGUACCUGACUAAGAAGCCCCGGCUAACUACGUGCCAGCAGCCGCGGUAAUACGUAGGGGGCAAGCGUUAUCCGGAUUUACUGGGUGUAAAGGGAGCGUAGACGGUUGUAUAAGUCUGGAGUGAAAGCCCGGGGCCCAACCCCGGGACUGCUUUGGAAACUGUGUAACUUGAGUACAGGG
rnacentral:rRNA from 1 species